GGUUAAGCGACUAAGCGUACACGGUGGAUGCCCUGGCAGUCAGAGGCGAUGAAGGACGUGCUAAUCUGCGAUAAGCGUCGGUAAGGUGAUAUGAACCGUUAUAACCGGCGAUUUCCGAAUGGGGAAACCCAGUGUGUUUCGACACACUAUCAUUAACUGAAUCCAUAGGUUAAUGAGGCGAACCGGGGGAACUGAAACAUCUAAGUACCCCGAGGAAAAGAAAUCAACCGAGAUUCCCCCAGUAGCGGCGAGCGAACGGGGAGGAGCCCAGAGCCUGAAUCAGUGUGUGUGUUAGUGGAAGCGUCUGGAAAGGCGCGCGAUACAGGGUGACAGCCCCGUACACAAAAAUGCACAUAUUGUGAGCUCGAUGAGUAGGGCGGGACACGUGGUAUCCUGUCUGAAUAUGGGGGGACCAUCCUCCAAGGCUAAAUACUCCUGACUGACCGAUAGUGAACCAGUACCGUGAGGGAAAGGCGAAAAGAACCCCGGCGAGGGGAGUGAAAAAGAACCUGAAACCGUGUACGUACAAGCAGUGGGAGCCUCUUUUAUGGGGUGACUGCGUACCUUUUGUAUAAUGGGUCAGCGACUUAUAUUCUGUAGCAAGGUUAACCGAAUAGGGGAGCCGAAGGGAAACCGAGUCUUAACUGGGCGUUAAGUUGCAGGGUAUAGACCCGAAACCCGGUGAUCUAGCCAUGGGCAGGUUGAAGGUUGGGUAACACUAACUGGAGGACCGAACCGACUAAUGUUGAAAAAUUAGCGGAUGACUUGUGGCUGGGGGUGAAAGGCCAAUCAAACCGGGAGAUAGCUGGUUCUCCCCGAAAGCUAUUUAGGUAGCGCCUCGUGAAUUCAUCUCCGGGGGUAGAGCACUGUUUCGGCAAGGGGGUCAUCCCGACUUACCAACCCGAUGCAAACUGCGAAUACCGGAGAAUGUUAUCACGGGAGACACACGGCGGGUGCUAACGUCCGUCGUGAAGAGGGAAACAACCCAGACCGCCAGCUAAGGUCCCAAAGUCAUGGUUAAGUGGGAAACGAUGUGGGAAGGCCCAGACAGCCAGGAUGUUGGCUUAGAAGCAGCCAUCAUUUAAAGAAAGCGUAAUAGCUCACUGGUCGAGUCGGCCUGCGCGGAAGAUGUAACGGGGCUAAACCAUGCACCGAAGCUGCGGCAGCGACACUAUGUGUUGUUGGGUAGGGGAGCGUUCUGUAAGCCUGUGAAGGUGUGCUGUGAGGCAUGCUGGAGGUAUCAGAAGUGCGAAUGCUGACAUAAGUAACGAUAAAGCGGGUGAAAAGCCCGCUCGCCGGAAGACCAAGGGUUCCUGUCCAACGUUAAUCGGGGCAGGGUGAGUCGACCCCUAAGGCGAGGCCGAAAGGCGUAGUCGAUGGGAAACAGGUUAAUAUUCCUGUACUUGGUGUUACUGCGAAGGGGGGACGGAGAAGGCUAUGUUGGCCGGGCGACGGUUGUCCCGGUUUAAGCGUGUAGGCUGGUUUUCCAGGCAAAUCCGGAAAAUCAAGGCUGAGGCGUGAUGACGAGGCACUACGGUGCUGAAGCAACAAAUGCCCUGCUUCCAGGAAAAGCCUCUAAGCAUCAGGUAACAUCAAAUCGUACCCCAAACCGACACAGGUGGUCAGGUAGAGAAUACCAAGGCGCUUGAGAGAACUCGGGUGAAGGAACUAGGCAAAAUGGUGCCGUAACUUCGGGAGAAGGCACGCUGAUAUGUAGGUGAAGUCCCUCGCGGAUGGAGCUGAAAUCAGUCGAAGAUACCAGCUGGCUGCAACUGUUUAUUAAAAACACAGCACUGUGCAAACACGAAAGUGGACGUAUACGGUGUGACGCCUGCCCGGUGCCGGAAGGUUAAUUGAUGGGGUCAGCGCAAGCGAAGCUCUUGAUCGAAGCCCCGGUAAACGGCGGCCGUAACUAUAACGGUCCUAAGGUAGCGAAAUUCCUUGUCGGGUAAGUUCCGACCUGCACGAAUGGCGUAAUGAUGGCCAGGCUGUCUCCACCCGAGACUCAGUGAAAUUGAACUCGCUGUGAAGAUGCAGUGUACCCGCGGCAAGACGGAAAGACCCCGUGAACCUUUACUAUAGCUUGACACUGAACAUUGAGCCUUGAUGUGUAGGAUAGGUGGGAGGCUUAGAAGUGUGGACGCCAGUCUGCAUGGAGCCGACCUUGAAAUACCACCCUUUAAUGUUUGAUGUUCUAACGUGGACCCGUGAUCCGGGUUGCGGACAGUGUCUGGUGGGUAGUUUGACUGGGGCGGUCUCCUCCUAAAGAGUAACGGAGGAGCACGAAGGUUGGCUAAUCCUGGUCGGACAUCAGGAGGUUAGUGCAAUGGCAUAAGCCAGCUUGACUGCGAGCGUGACGGCGCGAGCAGGUGCGAAAGCAGGUCAUAGUGAUCCGGUGGUUCUGAAUGGAAGGGCCAUCGCUCAACGGAUAAAAGGUACUCCGGGGAUAACAGGCUGAUACCGCCCAAGAGUUCAUAUCGACGGCGGUGUUUGGCACCUCGAUGUCGGCUCAUCACAUCCUGGGGCUGAAGUAGGUCCCAAGGGUAUGGCUGUUCGCCAUUUAAAGUGGUACGCGAGCUGGGUUUAGAACGUCGUGAGACAGUUCGGUCCCUAUCUGCCGUGGGCGCUGGAGAACUGAGGGGGGCUGCUCCUAGUACGAGAGGACCGGAGUGGACGCAUCACUGGUGUUCGGGUUGUCAUGCCAAUGGCACUGCCCGGUAGCUAAAUGCGGAAGAGAUAAGUGCUGAAAGCAUCUAAGCACGAAACUUGCCCCGAGAUGAGUUCUCCCUGACCCUUUAAGGGUCCUGAAGGAACGUUGAAGACGACGACGUUGAUAGGCCGGGUGUGUAAGCGCAGCGAUGCGUUGAGCUAACCGGUACUAAUGAACCGUGAGGCUUAACCUU
rnacentral:rRNA from 1 species